rnacentral:rRNA from 1 species
UACGGAGGGUGCAAGCGUUAUCCGGAUUCACUGGGUUUAAAGGGUGCGUAGGAGGGCAGGUAAGUCAGUGGUGAAAUCCUCGAGCUUAACUUGGGAACUGCCGUUGAUACUAUCUGUCUUGAAUACCGUGGAGGUGAGCGGAAUAUGUCAUGUAGCGGUGAAAUGCUUAGAUAUGACAUAGAACACCAAUUGCGAAGGCAGCUCGCUACACGAAUAUUGACUCUGAGGCACGAAAGCGUGGGGAUCAAACAGG